UACUCGAGUGGCGAACGGGUGAGUAACACGUGGGUGAUCUGCCCUGCACUUCGGGAUAAGCUUGGGAAACUGGGUCUAAUACCGGAUAGGAGCCAUCUUUAGUGUGGUGGUUGGAAAGUUUUUUCGGUGUAGGAUGAGCUCGCGGCCUAUCAGCUUGUUGGUGGGGUAAUGGCCUACCAAGGCGUCGACGGGUAGCCGGCCUGAGAGGGUGUACGGCCACAUUGGGACUGAGAUACGGCCCAG
rnacentral:rRNA from 1 species